CAGCAGCCGCGGGAAUACGAAAGGGGCUAGCGUUGCUCGGAAUGACUGGGCGUAAAGGGCGCGUAGGCGGAUUGUUUAGUUAGGCGUGAAAUCCCUGGGCUUAACCUGGGGACUGCGCUUAAUACAGGCAGUCUAGAGUGAGGAAGAGGGUUGUGGAAUUCCCAGCGUAGAGGUGAAAUUCGUAGAUAUCAGGAGGAACACCUGUGGCGAAAGCGGCUCACUGGACCAUAACUGACGCUGAGGCACGAAAGCUAGGGGAGCAAACAGGAUUAGAUACCCCCGUAGUCCCUGUCUCUUAUAC
rnacentral:rRNA from 1 species